AAUUUCUUUUGCAAUUCUACUCUCAAUUAUUUACAAAAGUUGUUGUCCAGAACCAUUCUUUCAUGUGUAUUAAUCUAGGCCGGCUCUAUGCCUGGUAUACAAAAAAAAAAAAAACAAAUAAACUCAUCAACAAAUGAACAUUUUGCAAAAAAGUUAGCGGUCCAUUACCUUCAAACCAACUAAAAAAAGUUAGUCGAAUAACUGAAAGUAAAAGUUCAAAUGGUAUUUUUUUUUAAAAGGAAGUGCAAAUGGGUUAGACACUUUUUUUUAAUUUUUCGGCUGAUAGACGGUUCUUAUAUCUCUUAUUUAAGAGACGAUUCUUAUAUCUCUUAGUUAAGAGAUAAUUCUUAAUUUUUCUUAGUUAAAAUCUAAGAAAAGUUAAGAAUCGAUUUUUAGCCGAAGUUAAAAACCCAGUUAAUUAGAGACUGAGUUAUCUAUACUAUACUAAAAGGAGGAUAUAAUCAACAUUCAGCUUAUCCACGUAGGAUUAAAAAUUUGACCAAUAAAAACAAGUUAUUUUGCCACGUCAAAAGAGCUAUCGCAGAGUAAAGACGAAAACCUCAAUCACCAAACAUGCUUCGUCUUCCUAAUUCUCACGGAAGUAAUUCCACCGUCUGUUAUCAUCCCUUUGGUUUCUCUUCUCUAAUGUCAUAAACCCAUUAAUAAUGAGUCGCAAAACCUCAUUCUUUACUGCAACAAUCAAACGUGGCGAAACUCUUUCUAUUCCUUCUGCUUUUAGCUACUCCUCUUCACCACAUUAGCAGUAACCGAAUAAUCGCAGCAAUCGAUGGCAAACAAAACCGUGAAUCUUUUUCUUUCUGGUGAUUUUCAGUUAUGAAGAAUGUUUUGUUUAGCUCUUUUAAUUUUCAUCUAACAUUCUAAAGUAUUUUAUGUUUUGUAUUUGUAUUUGAUUCUUGGAUCUGGUCUGAGUCGUGCUGCUACUCUCCACCACCUGGCUUUAACCAUUGAAUCCAUCGUCAUGUCUGUCACUCGCCGGAAAGUCGGAAAACAGGUCUGUGCUUUUCUUUCUGGAGGAAGAUAUGCAAAGAAAGUUGUUGUACCCAUUGGACAAAUCUAAAGAAAACCCAGAACCAAGAAAAAUUACAGAGAGACUGAGGCAAAGAUCUAUUUGAUGUUCUCUCUGAUGAUGUCAUGCAGAGACAGAUGCAGGACUUGAAAAGGAAAAGCACAGAGGAACUGAAGGCUUUCGUAGAGAUCUCUUGCACAACUUCUCCCAAUCAUUUAGUUUCUGUGAGGAAAGCUUAUUGUUUACUCCUCAAUUCAUCCCUUGCAGAAUACACUGGUUCAUCUAUUCAUUUUCCUCCAGCGAAAGUUUUUGUUUUUUGGUAUCAUACAUUUUAACUUACAAAAUUGCUUCUUUUUUUGUCUUUUAGU